rnacentral:lncRNA from 1 species
AAGGCAUAUAUUUACAAUAAAUAAAUAUAUAAAAAAUAAAAAUAAAAUAGCAUAUACUAUCAUUAAAAAUACAAAACAUCAAUUAAAUUAAAAGAAAAAAAGACUAACUUAAAAAAUACAAAAAACCUUAAAAAAAAUCAAACAUUACCCUCCCUCUAUUAAAAAAAUAAUCCAAAAUCAUAGUCCCAAUAAUAUUUUUUAAUUUCAAACAUUCAAAGGCCCAAACAAUCGAUCUGCAAAUCAUCGACGAUCCUUUCCGUUCCGUUCAGACCGGUAAUCCUUUCCGUUCCCACCACGAAUUCAGACCGACAAUCCUGACCGUUGACGAAAACUCAAAACCGAGCUCGACCGACAUACUCUUUUCUGACGACAACGUAGAUGGUCUGAAAGAUAACGAGUCGCUCUGGGUCGGCUCAAACAGCGACGAUGUUGGUAAAGAUAGUGCCUUUUGUACAGGAAAAAUAAGCGGCGAUAAUAUAUUCGACGGAGUGGUGGUUAUCAACAGCGUUUUAGGAAGGAUAGAUGAUAAAUUGGUGGUAGUGGAUUGGAUAUAGCGAUAAAUGUUGUCGAUUGGAUGGUUGUGGCGGGGUUCGGUUGUGGUCGCCAUUUUGGUAUGAAUUUUUCUCCCUAAUUAUUAUCUGUUGUUCGGCUCUUUAGCAAGAAGAGUCGAAAAUAUUCAUAUCUACUGAUUUUUUUAUUGUCUGAUUUUAAGCUUUAUUAAAUGUCAUGGAGCUACCAUCCACUUAGACCUGGCAAACGGGCGGGUCUGGCCCAAACGGACCAGUGAGUGGCGGGCUGAGUCAAAAAUGGGCGGGCCAAGGCCCGGUUUUUUUGGGGCCAAAAAACUUCAGCCCAAAAAUGGGCGAGUCAAUAUUGACAGAACUUUUAAACAUCGUCAAUAUUAUAAAUAAUAAUAUUAAUAAUUCUGUCAUCUCAAUUAUUGAUUUAAUAAUAUAAAAUAUCGACAAUAAUUGAAUUAAAUAACGUGAGAUACUAUGCAGCAAUUACUGUAGCAAUAAUUGAACAAAAUUGAGUGACUUCUCACGUAAACAUCAAUAAUCAAUAUCGUGUGCUACUAUUCAACCACGCGUAUUACUGUACUUUUACUACCGAGUAGUUCAACAGUUUUAACGGUAAAACUUCCGCCGUUAUUUUCAUAAAAAUAUUUUUAUCGUUUUCUCAAUCCGACAAUAAUUCCGUUGUAGGGUCCACCAAUGAUUGUACCGUCGUACGGAUAUUCUCCGACAAAAAGAAUAUUUCCCGACCAAUCGAAUAUUAUACAACAACUUGCAUACUUUUCAAAAUUUAUAAAUAUUACCCACAACUAUAACAUUAUCUCAAAUUCACACCAUAAUUUUGAAAAAAAUAUUUCGAGAAAAUUAAAUCUUUAUUCAUAAAAUUUGGGAUUUUACAGUUUACAUUAUAUGUAUUAUUCUAAGGUUAAAGCUAGAAACACAGAGGAAGGAAAUUGAGAGUUCUCUGAGAAUUGAGAGUCAAGAGGAAGAAGAGGGUUUUGUCAAGCUAAUCUAUCAUAUUUGCUAACUCUUAACAGGAAUUAAAGGUGAUAGUAAUCUAUUUCUAAUUCUUAAGUUUUGUCUUACAUAUUUUUUUCUCUGUAAUUGGUUGUUGUGGUAUGAAUUAAAGAGACAUGAUGCUAUGUGUUUUAUUAGGUGUUAAUAAUCUGUGACAUAUUGUUUAAGAAUGGUUUUCUGAAAUCAAAUUAUCAUAGAAUAUGUUUUAAAAUGAGGAAUUGUGUUCUUGAUGGAAUAUAUAUAUAUAUAUAUAUAUAUAUAUAUAUUGGCUUGGUUGAGAGUCAAAAUUGAGGAUUUGAUCAUAUAAUAAUAUGUUAAUUGUUACCUGAUUGUGUUAAUAUGUCAAGAAACGAAAACAAUAAAUGUAUAAUGGAGUGAUUUGGUUAAGAAACGAAGUUUUGGUGAUUGAAUUCGCUAAACAUGUUGGAAAACAAAGAAACUAGCAAAAACAUGAUUUUAAUCCUUUAAAAUUGAUUGUGUAAGAUGUUUAUGUUGUUAGAAUCAUGAUAUGCAUGCUUGGUGAUGUUGCUAAUAAGUUUAUAGCCUUUAGGUUUGUUGAAUUCUGCUUAAUUAGGAAAAAUUGGGAUGUUUGGGUUGAACUGUGAAGCAGGGACGCAGUCUGCAAGUUUCUGUCUGUGUACUAUCGCAGCUGCGCUGGUAUUAAAGGCAGAAACGGUGCAGCUGCGCCUGCUGAGUUUUUUGGGAAUUGAGCACCAGCGCAGCUGCACCGGUGCCAAGGCUUGGGGUAGCGCAAUUGCGCCCUCCCCUGAGCAGAAAUAAUUUAUUUUAUUUUAUGUUCCAAUCCAUGAUGUGUUGAUUUAAACUAAUCUAAUGUUCUUGAUGUUGUGUGAAACAUGUAAUAAAGUUCUAUAACAGAUUGUAAACAUGUAUUUGAUGAUCUUAAAUUGUAAAGUUAAUAAGUUGAGGAAAACUUUAACUUAUGAUUUGUUUAAGUCUUGAGAUGUGGUUUAAGAGUUACGUCGCUAUGUUAGACUUAUGAUUUCAGAUUGGUGAUGUGUUAUUAAUUUAAAAGUUAGAACUUGAAUUAUGUUAACAAGUUGGAUUUAAAUGAGAACUAAACAUAUAGGGUUAAUUUUAGUGUAACUAAUCGGUAUUGCGAUUCUAAUGAUAUAUGUAGGGUUUUUGACGAACGUGUGUUAUAAUUGUAUAGCUUACGCACGAGGCAAGUUCCUAAACCUUAUUUCUUUACAUAGAGCAAGUUCUUUAUUCCUAUCUUGUUUAUUAUUAUGUAAGCUUCUAUACCCUACUUUUUAUUGAGCAAGUUUUCUAAUCUUGAACUUGUUAAUGUUGUGAUUAUAACUGUUCAAGUACCUAUCCAUUGUCUCUUGUUAAUGCAAAGCUUAAAUUGAUCAUUAAUUCGUACAAAACUUUCUAAUUCUUUUGAAGAUAGUACAUUAGAUAUACAAUGCUUUAUUCAAUUGCAUAUUAUUGUGAGUUAAUCUUUGAUUCAAACAUCGUAGUUUAAUAUCAUUUUAUUGUAACCUUGAAUGGCUAGUGAACCUUUAUUGAUUUGACUAGUCCAUAGUCAAUGAGAGUUCUAAAAUUCUAGAAACAUUGUUAAGCUAAUCCAAACUAAACUUUCUUUAAUGCGGAAUUCUAAUCAAACUGAGAUGAACAACCCUAUUAUAGGGGAUUAUUUACGCGUUAGCGUUAAGAUAUUUGUGCACAAUAUAUGAUACAAAAGGUUGAUCCCCCUAAGUACGAGAGGAAAGGUCCAUAUAGUCUAAUGACUGUUAAAGGUUGAAGUAGAAAUACUUAACAACCAGGGACAUAGUUCAUGGUCUUGAGACCCUCAGAUAUAUAAUUCGAUCCAACUUUCUAAUUUUGAUUCAAAGGUCGAGUUCUUUAUUAUUGAGUAAUUAUUGUCUAUUCUAUGAUGUUAUUAUUGUCAUCAUUAUAUUUGUGAGGACUUGUUUGCUCACUCUUGCAUAUAAAACGUUGCAGCUAAGGUUGAAAGAUUUGACGAGCUGAACACUAGCAAGGGCAAAGGCAAAGCAACCAAGUGAUGAAGACUUGGUUUAUUUUAUUUGAAAGAAUUUAUGUUAUGAGACUUAUUUGUUUAUGUGAUGUGUUCCGUAAACUUAUGUAAUAAUUUAAUGUUAGAUUACCUAGAUUUGUUUUAAGUUGAUGUAACCCUUUAAUGGGGAGGAUUAUUGUUUAAGUUAUUUAAUUUAUGUCUUUAUCCUAGAUUAUGGGUAGUUGGAUGUGAUUGUUUUGGAUAGUGAGCAUCAAAUCUUGUGGAAAUGAAGUAUCAGAAUUUGGGG